rnacentral:rRNA from 1 species
UGGGGAAUCUUGCGCAAUGGGCGAAAGCCUGACGCAGCAACGCCGCGUGCGGGAUGACGGCCUUCGGGUUGUAAACCGCUUUCAGCAGGGACGAUAGUGACGGUACCUGCAGAAGAAGCCCCGGCCAACUACGUGCCAGCAGCCGCGGUAAGACGUAGGGGGCAAGCGUUGUCCGGAUUUAUUGGGCGUAAAGAGCUCGUAGGCGGUUUGGCAAGUCGGGUGUGAAAUCUCCGGGCUCAACUCGGAGGGGCCACUCGAUACUGCUAUGACUAGAGUCCGGUAGGGGAGCGUGGAAUUCCCGGUGUAGCGGUGAAAUGCGCAGAUAUCGGGAGGAACACCAGUAGCGAAGGCGGCGCUCUGGGCCGGAACUGACGCUAAAGAGCGAAAGCGUGGGGAGCGAACAGGAUUAGAUACCCCCGUAGUCC